rnacentral:tRNA from 1 species
AAGGGAGACCUAAUUCGGGUAUAAGACGAAAAAAUAGUAGUCGAAACCAAGAAUCAAUCCCAAAAGGUCGGAACGAGGUAUGAGGCUUUCAAACUAGGUUCUGGGUUCAUAAAAGACCUGAAUCAGGAACAAGGGCUAUUAGCUCAGGUGGUUAGAGCGCACCCCUGAUAAGGGUGAGGUCCCUGGUUCGAGUCCAGGAUGGCCCACCUGCACAGGUGGCAAAAACAAAAGAAGCGAGGAAUCAGCACCUUAUCUUACCUAUAUAGUAAGAGAGAAUGCUGGCUCUGAGUAAAGAGUCCAGAGGAACCUUGAAAACUGCAUAGAGCUAGGUGAAAAAGCCAAAAAAGAAGACCGCAA